ACUAUAAGUUUUUUUUAAAGAUGAAAAGCGCUCGUCCUUGUGUUGCUACUUUUCUUCGUCCUUGUUUGUGUUGCUCACUAUAAGUUUUGCUUAAAUCUGUAACUAUUAUCGAUGCGCGGACGCCCAGUGGUUCGAGAGCGACAUCUAGGGCGAUCACUUUCGUAGGCGAUCACACCAGCUCUGUGACGGUAUACCGAGUAUAAGGCGGAAAGCGUUUCUCGCCUUGUGCUAAGGUCGCUAUAUGAUGGUUUACAGGAUAGUUAAAUGCUUCGUGUCAUCAUCCCUUUCACCGUGUUUCUCACAUGUGCGUGCGGUGUCUUUUAUUUUUCAUUGGUGCCGAGAACGAACGACACGAGAUCAACAUGUUCGUGCCGCGCACUCAUCUGUCGGGUAAAAACUAUGCUGGCCUUUCGUGCGUCAUCACCGUGUCAAGCAUGGGGAGGCAGCACGGUGGCCUACUAUUCGAGUGAGGCAAGCAAGGCCAUCGCCACGGCUCUUGGUUCAAACAACGCGGAGACGGACAGACGGACCAAGUUCGGCUUCCUAGCAGACGAGAUCGACCAGAUCGUGUCGGGAACCCAUCUGUAAAGCAAAGGCGGUGCUGGGCUUUUGAGGAUCAGGAUCUGCGUAGGAAGAAGUACAGUGCCUGACUGUACUAGCCGUACCAGCAAGCGCCUCGGUGUCUUGGUCCUAACCUGCGGUACUGGUGGCCAGCAGUUCUUACGCAUUGGUAUCUUGCUGCCGGCCCUGGGGACCUGGUGACCAGUUCAAGCGGCUUGGUGUCUUGCCACCCACCCUGCAGACCUGCGGCACUAGAGAUGACUUGCCCGCCCUGUAGUCCUGGUGGCCAGAUGUUCUUGCGUACCUGUAUUUUGCUGCCGGCCCUGUGGAGCUCGCGGCCAGUUCAAGUUCGGCAAUGUCAACUUGGUGGCCACCAUAACGGGCCUGGUGUCUUGCUACGCACCCUGCAGACCUGCCCUGGGGGCCUGGUGGUCAGCGGUACUAGAGGUGACUUGCCCGCUCUGCCGUCCUGGUGGCCAGAUGUUCUUGCGUACCUGUAUUUUGCUGCGGGCCCUGUGGAGCUCGUGGCCAGUUCAAGUCCGGCCCUGUCAACCAGGUGGCCACCACAAGGGGCCUGGUGUCUUGCUACGCACCCUGCAGACCUGCGGUUCUAAGGGUGACUUGCCCGCCCUUUGGUCCUGGUGGCCAGAUGUUCUUGCGUACCUGUAUUGCCGCCCCUUGGAGCUCGUGGCCAGGUAAAAUCCGGCCCUGUCAACCUGGUGUUCACCACGUGGGGUGUGCUGGGGUGUGGUGUCUUGCAACGCACCCUGCAAACCUGGUGAUUACCUGACCUCGUGCGCCCUGGUAUAUUGUUAUCCGAGCAGCAGAUGAGGCGAUGCUGGCCUUUCGUGCAUCGUGACCGCGACCAGCGUGGGUGGCAGCAUGGUGACCGACUAUAGUAGCCAGACUAGCAAGUCGGCCUGGUGUCUUGCUACCCACCCUGCCGUUCUGGUUCUGUGGCCCUCGCGGCUAGCGACCUCUUGGCCAGCUGUUCUAUAGGCCUGGUGACUUGCCCACCCUGAGGACCUGGUGGCCAGCUGUUCUAGCGACCAAGUAUCAUUUUGUCUGCUCGGCGCACCCCGUGGCAAGAUCUUCUAGCGGCCAGAUGUCCUGCGGAUCUUGUGGCUAGCUGUUAUAGCGACCAGUUCUGGCGACCUGGUGUCUUGCCGCUUGCCCGGACCUGGUGGCGAGCUGCUCAACCGACUUUGUAUGCUGCUGAAGAAAAGAUUGGCUGGGCGGUGUAGAAUCACAGGAGGCGAAAUUCUUUUUCUAUCACAAUUUCUUUGUAAAAGCGGAUAGUUGGAUCUGCUUGUCCCACGAGAUAGGCUAUUCGUUCUGCAACUGAAAAUUACUAGGUCCACCUCGCUCCUGGAGCAGCGAAGCGAACAGCAUCCGCAGGCGCACGCUCAUGUCGGGCCACAGGUGCCAUUUGUGAGCAACGUAGGCGACACAGUGCCGCAGCCUUGCCGGUGGCAUGAACACUCCCUGAUGUCUCCGUGCAGCCGGAUACUCCACUUUGAAAAUUGGUUGGCCAAGAUGUCCAGCAGGAUCCUGAGCAGCGUGCUCACCGGAAGUGGCAAAGAUGGCGACGAUCUCCCCACCAUGGACUUCGAACGAGAAAUCCAUCGAUCGGAAGCAACCUGGUCCGAGACCGCCGAAGAGCCGCCGACCCAGGCUGCAGAGGUUCAGCUCCAACGCCAGGUGGCGAACCUGCGUCAGAGCGGCCACAUUUGCCGUCACGACGACGUGGCCGUUCGAACCAUUGCUGAGAAUUCCGACGAACGCGUGUUUACGCACACACAAAAAUAAAGUCUGACAACACCGCUGGCCAUCAGGCCGGAAGACGACGACGACGGCGGCGGCGACGUAUAACAUCCAGGACGUGCCAGACUCGCACUUCAGAUGCCACUAGUCGAGCUAACUAUAAGUCUUUGCGGGGUACAUCCUGAAUAGCCUAAGUAUAGCUUGGGCGGGGUCAUCGAAAAAGAGCACCGAUAACACGGCGCCUUAACGAGUUAUCGAGUUGGCAAAGGCAGACGAAAGACAAGGAGUGGAAUGGUGGUGGAUGGCAUGAAUAUCUUAAGGGACGAAAAACCGCGUGCGACUGCAAAAUUUGGCGGAGAUGUUCGCAGUACCGCAUGCUGUUUGCGCACUGUUUUUCCCCAAGCCACUAAGGUGCUUCGGUACCCUUUUAACACUAAUGCCUAACGCACCGCCUGUAUACUGCGCUGCUUGAGAUUCCGAAAUUCAAAUUUGAGCAGCUGAACGAGAAGUAGCGAUAUGAAUUCGCUGUCGAGCUAAGUGUCUGUUUUGAAUAGCUUGGGAAUCGAAUUGCUAACUACAGUGCUAAGUAACUUUGCUCACAAAUUCUAUCUCCAGCACAAAUUUGCACUCCAUGGCGUGUAAUGGAGAAAAUUCUGCGUACGUGCAAGCGUGCUCGAGCAUUGCAGGGUUUAAAUACUCCCCCAAUACUGUUCGUUUCAGUGCUGUUGGAUGAUUCGAACAGCAAGUUCGUCAGUGUUCAAAAACUGCAGCAGUUGGCGACGAAGCCUGGAGUGAGCUUCUGCAAUAUUCACAGAGCAUCUUGAAGGCGUACCACAGGUUAAGUACAUAAAAUUUCAGGAUGGCUUAUCACGCGCCCCCAUAACUGGCGCCCGUGUAUUGUGUUGCAGGAAGAGUUUCUCGUGACGUCAGCAUUUUGCGGAGGUUAAGCAAUCGCUGUAUAAGAAGGAAGAGCCACUUGAAUACUGGUGUAAUUUGGGGCUUUUUUUUUUUGUUUCCCAGUUCUAUCUUGUGCUUUUCCUCGGUGGCUCCGCCCUCUUUUUUUCUCUCUCUCUCGUACUGAAUAGCUGGUCGCACCUCUUAGCCUAAGGCUUUCUUAAAGCUGUUCCAAAUAUUCUGCAUCCAGAGUAGCGAUUUUCCUCUCUUGCAUCUACCUCCUUCUUUCGGCUGUUACGGUUUUCUGUAUUUAGGAGUCGCCGCUAAGACUUUCUGAAACUGUCCUCAUGUUGUUGCCAUCGUUAAUUCGUACGUGGGUACUUGCGAUAUGGAAUAACAGCUACUGCGAAUCAUACGCAUAACUGAUCUAUUCGAUGUCAUUUUUUUAUGUUGCCAAAUUCCGCAGCGUAUUCUUCAUUCCGGCAUUUUUCGCGGUAGUCAUUUUUCGCGGUAGAAGAUUCGUUGGCUUAUAGCAACGUAGACGUCGCUGGCUAGCCGGUAACAAGAACGCUUAUUGUGGACUCCGUGCGGCCGGAUGCUCCACAUUGAAUAUCGGUUGGCCAGGAUGUCGAGCAGGGUUGAACCACCUUGCUCUGCAUUUUUCUUGCUCUGCAGCUAUGAACGCACUUAGUACACAUCCAAACAUUGAUGACUGCUGGCGUUACUGAACUGUAGUUCGCGAUUAGUGGUGGUUUUACUACUACACGCAGAGUAUUCGUACUGUUCGCCUUGCAUGUGACGCAGUACAACCCUCAAAUUGCACCUACGGCAGUCUCCUCUUGAUUUCGUUUGUGUGCGCGUGUUUUGACCCGCCCAUAGGAAUUAUUUGACUCGUGUAAUGAAUGUUUAUGAAUUUCUAAAUAAACUUGAAUGAAGGCCGUG